CAACCAUCAAGCCCCAGGCUUGUGUUGGGGACCUGCGGCUGCCGCAGGCCCUGAAAACCAGUGGCGGGCUCGCUAGUCACUCCGAGCGUAGUAAUACAUCUCGCUCAGGGCGUGCUGCGGGUUCCGGCCGUUAAAAAGCCUUAUUUACCCAA
rnacentral:misc_RNA from 1 species